rnacentral:lncRNA from 1 species
AAACAUUCCCGCCUCUUUGUCUCGCUAGGAUCGCCGCCACCUAUUUUGCACGGAUUUCUUGUUGCUUGGGUGUCAUCCUCGACGUAUCCAUGAAUAAAAUUUUAUCGUCAUGAAUCUCUCGCUUGAGUCGAUUCUUGGCGAGAUUUGUGCGUGUCUCGCCCAUGAAUUCCACGUACUCAGUAGGAGGGAUUGAACCUUCUGACGCUUUGCCCUGUGCCUUUGCCACCUUGAGAGAAAGUUGAGGGAGAAAUUGAGAAAGAAUGUAG